GUGGGUCGUCAGCAGGAGGAAGAUAGAGUUCGGGGUUGUAAUUAGCAAGGGAUUUAUUUGGCGUCACAUCGUCACUCACGCAUUAUUGGAAGCCAAAAACCGAAUACAGCGUGUUGCCCACACGAUUAAGUCCCAAUAGACACCGACGAGCGAGAGUUCUAGGCGUUUCUCAAGGAGAAAUCUAUGUUGGAUUCCAGCACGUGCCGUCUAAGUGGUGACGUGGAACAACAUCUUGGCACCGCUUCCGUCGGCAAAGGGCGGACAUCAUCUUUCCCACGUCGAUAUCUUUAUAUUAGCGUCCGAUAUCGUUAGCGACCGCAUCGAUCUUAUAGAUUCCACAUGAUAUAGGAUGAGAUGUGCUAAUGGUGACUUGGUAAUAUCAAAUCCGUAUUUCCGAGGCCCACGUCAACUCUUUUAUGUGAGAAGAGAUGAACUCGUUAUGCAGAGCAAGGAAACACCCUCCAUGACGUCGCGCUACUGAAAGCUAUUCUAACCUUAUCUUGUAAUUCGCCUUACAUCUCCAACACUAAUCAUACCAAAUGAGACUAAUUGAAGUAGUUGAAAUGUGACUCGAGUUUAAAACUAAACAUUUUUGUAUUGCUUGUUUCGAUUGAUUUUUAUUAUUAUUAUUUUGAUAAAAUUCAAAGGUUUGGCCAAAGGGCAACGGAGAGUUUACCUGGUUUAGUGUGGACGAGUCGAAAGGCUCCGGCAGCCACUUUCGUGUUCCUGGCACCACAAAAUAUGUUUAGGAUG
rnacentral:lncRNA from 1 species